rnacentral:rRNA from 1 species
CUACGUGCCAGCAGCCGCGGUAAUACGUAGGGGGCAAGCGUUAUCCGGAAUAACUGGGCGUAAAGGGUGCGCAGGUGGUUUAACAAGUUAGUGGUGAAAGGCAUAGGCUCAACCAAUGUAAGCCAUUAAAACUGUUUAACUUGAGUGCAGGAGAGGAAAGUGGAAUUCCUAGUGUAGCGGUGAAAUGCGUAGAUAUUAGGAGGAAUACCAGUGGCGAAGGCGACUUUCUGGACUGCAACUGACACUGAGGCACGAAAGCGUGGGGAGCAAACAGGAUUAGAUACCCUGGUAGUCCUGGCCGUAAACGAUGGGUACUAGGUGUAGGAGGUAUCGACCCCUUCUGUGCCGGAGUUAACGCAAUAAGUACCCCGCCUGGGGAGUACGACCGCAAGGUUGAAACUCAAAGGAAUUGACGGGGGCCCGCACAAGCGGUGGAGUAUGUGGUUUAAUUCGACGCAACGCGAAGAACCUUACCAGGUCUUGACAUUGAUGGACAGAACUAGAGAUAG